AGGACGAACGCUGGCGGCGUGCUUAACACAUGCAAGUCGAACGGAAGGCCCUUCGGGGUACUCGAGUGGCGAACGGGUGAGUAACACGUGGGUGAUCUGCCCUGCACUUCGGGAUAAGCCUGGGAAACUGGGUCUAAUACCGGAUAUGACCUCAGGAUGCAUGUCUUGUGGUGGAAAGCUUUUGCGGUGUGGGAUGGGCCCGCGGCCUAUCAGCUUGUUGGUGGGGUCACGGCCUACCAAGGCGACGACGGGUAGCCGGCCUGAGAGGGUGACCGGCCACACUGGGACUGAGAUACGGCCCAGACUCCUACGGGAGGCAGCAGUGGGGAAUAUUGCACAAUGGGCGCAAGCCUGAUGCAGCGAACCGCCGCGUGAGGGACGACGGCCUUCGGGUUGUAAACCUCUUUCAGCACAGACGAAGCGCGAGUGACGGUAUGUGCAGAAGAAGGACCGGCCAACUACGUGCCAGCCGCAGC
rnacentral:rRNA from 1 species